rnacentral:ncRNA from 2 species
AAGGCUAUGUGUAACUGGCGAAAGCGGAUAACCGUAGGGGAGCAUAUAGUAUCGAAACGCCGUUCGCCUGGGCAGAGGUA